AUUGAACGCUGGCGGCAGGCCUAACACAUGCAAGUCGAGCGAGAGGCGGACGGGUGAGUAAUGUCUGGGAACCUGCCUGAUGGAGGGGGAUAACAACUGGAAACGGUAGCUAAUACCGCAUACCAUCAGAUGUGCCCAGAUGGGGUUAGCUAGUAGGUGGGGUAACGGCUCACCUAGGCGACGAUCCCGAGCUGGUAUGAGAGGAUGACCAGCCACACUGGGACUGAGACACGGUCCAGACUCCUACGGGAGGCAGCAGUGGGGAAGAUUGCACAAUGGGCGCAAGGCUGAUGCAGCCAUGCCGCGUGUGUGAAGAAGGCCUUCGGGUUGUAAAGCACUGUCAGCGGGGAGGCGUUACCCGCAGAAGAAGCACCGGCUAACUCCGUGCCAGCAGCCGCGGUAAUUC
rnacentral:rRNA from 1 species